ACAAACGCGUUGAUUUCAGUACAACAUUACUUAAACGCUUUGAAAAUGUCUUAUGAUUAUCAAGAAAAGUUAUCUAAAAAGGCUGCUGAACGUUACCAAAAUAAGUUAGAUUUAAUAGGGUUGUUCUGAGGUCACAAAAACAAUCUUACAAAGUUUUAGAGAGUACCUUCGGGAAUGAAGUUAAAAAGUUGUUAAUGUUAAGCAUUUUCUAGAAGCCAAGACGGAAUAUCGUUAAUCCUCAUACCGUUUACUAAAAAAUUUUAUACAUAUUGUUACAAUGUUAUAAUUCAUAUUUUUGUAAUUAGUAAUUUUGAUCAUUUCAUUAUUGUACUGUGAAAAAAUUUUUCAUUUAUAAAUUUUAUUCCACAUAUAUUAAAAACAUGCGGAAUAGAUUUCACACUGAGGAAAAUUUUAAACAAAAAUAUAGAAUUUUUAAAUGUUAUUAGAAUAUUAAU